rnacentral:lncRNA from 1 species
UUUGUAGUAGUAUGGUGGUGAGACGUAAUGUGGGGGUGGUGGUGGAGAUUUGUAGUAGUAAGGUGGUGGAGGAGAUGGUGAAGGUGGUGGUGGAGACUUGUAGUAGUAAGGUGGUGGUGGUGAGGGUGAUGGAGGUGGUGGAGACUUGUAGUAGUAUGGGGGUUGUUCUUCAUGCUUUGGUGGUGGUGGUGGGGACUUGUAGUAGUAAGGAGGUGGUGGAGAUGGUGAAGGUGGUGGUGGAGAUUUAUAGUAGUAAGGUGGUGGUGGUGAGGGUGAUGGAGGUGGUGGAGACUUGUAGUAGUAUGGGGGUUGUUCUUCAUGCUUUGGUGGUGGUGGUGGAGAUUUGUAGUAGUAUGGAGGAGGUGGUGAUGGAGACGGAGGUGGUGGGGACUUGUAGUAGUAAGGAGGAGGUGGUGAUGGAGAUGGAGGAGGAGGUGACUUGUAGUAGUAUGGUGGUUGUUCUUCAUGCUUUGGUGGUGGUGGUGGGGACUUGUAGUAGUAUGGAGGUGGUGGUGAUGGUGAUGGAGGUGGUGGAGAUUUAUACUCAUAAGGAGGUGGAGGAGAAGGCGAUGGAGGUGGUGGAGACUUGUAUUCAUAAGGCUUCUCCUUCGGUGGUGGUGGUGGAGACUUGUACUCAUAAGGCUUCUCCUUCGGUGGUGGUGGUGGAGACUUGUAUUCAUAAGGCUUCUCCUCAUGCUUUGGUGGAGGUGGUGGAGACUUGUACACGUAAGGAGGUGGUGGAGAAGGUGAUGGAGGUGGUGGAGAUUUGUACUCAUAAGGAGGUGGAGGAGAAGGUGAUGGUGGGGGUGGAGACUUGUACUCAUAAGGCUUCUCCUUUGGUGGUGGUGGUGGAGACUUGUAUUCAUAAGGCUUCUCCUCAUGUUUAGGUGGUGGUGGUGGAGACUUGUACACAUACGGAGGUGGAGGAGAAGGUGAAGGUGGUGGUGGAGAUUUAUACAC